CCCCAGAGACUGGCCGGGUUUGGAAGGUGUGUGGGGAGAAUGGUACUUUCCAGGUUUCCUCAAUAUCUGGAGACCGCAGGAAACCCAAGAGAUGGGAGGCAUUAAGCUUGCAUUAAGAAAGAUGCUUCCUACAGUUGGAACUUUCCUUAAGCAGUGACUUCCCCCUCCAACAAGAUUGCUGGCCAGCGUCUGGCUGGUCAGUGUGAGGGGUGCACAACGAGUAGAAUUAACUGAAGGCUGGACUUUCAGAGCCCCUGAAUCUGAAAGUGACUGGUCUCUGUCAGCUGUGAGCUCUGUGAGACCAGGCACCAGUCUGCUUUGCUCAUCACCUGUCUCCAACACCUGGCAAAAGAAUAGCUGCACCAGGUGUACCUGCUACAUUCAUUAACUGGCAAAGCCUCGAGGCAAUGAGGCCCAGGAGAGACGAUUUUGAGAGAUGAAUGGCUAACCUGCCCCUGCUGACAGAUCAUAUAAGAAGAGGUGGCAAGAAUACACAGAAGAGCUGUACAAAAAAGAUCUUCAUGACCCCAAUAAUCACGAUGGUGUGAUCACUCACCUAGAGCCAGGCAUCCUGGAAUGUGAAGUCAACUGGGCCUUAGGAAGCAUCUCUAUGAACAAAGCUAAUGGAGGGGAUGGAAUUCCAGUUGAGCUAUUUCAAAUCCUGAAAGAUGAUGCUGUGAAAGUGCUGCACUCAAUAUGCCAGCAAGUUUGGAAAACUCAGCAGUGGCCACAGGACUGGAAAAGCUCAAUCAAGAAACCAACAGACAGUAGUUUCUAUGUUCCAGAAGCCCUUCCCUGGGGUCUUCUCCGAUGUGCACUGUUCGCUGCUACAGAUUGUCCUUGCGGCUCUGAGGCCCCUCCUUGAGUCUCCAGGCCCCAGUGCAAUGUCAGGAAGAAAAGCUGAGCCCCUCUGUCCUGAUGUCCAAUCCUGGCUCCUCUCAUACAUGUCCUGGGUGUCCCCUAUGAUGUCCUUGACCCUGGGGCAGAUGGUCUCUACACAACUA
ensembl:lncRNA